rnacentral:rRNA from 1 species
GGCGGACGGGUGAGUAAUGCUUAGGAAUCUGCCUAUUAGUGGGGGACAACAUUCCGAAAGGAAUGCUAAUACCGCAUACGUCCUACGGGAGAAAGCAGGGGAUCUUCGGACCUUGCGCUAAUAGAUGAGCCUAAGUCGGAUUAGCUAGUUGGUGGGGUAAAGGCCUACCAAGGCGACGAUCUGUAGCGGGUCUGAGAGGAUGAUCCGCCACACUGGGACUGAGACACGGCCCAGACUCCUACGGGAGGCAGCAGUGGGGAAUAUUGGACAAUGGGGGGAACCCUGAUCCAGCCAUGCCGCGUGUGUGAAGAAGGCCUUAUGGUUGUAAAGCACUUUAAGCGAGGAGGAGGCUACUGAGACUAAUACUCUUGGAUAGUGGACGUUACUCGCAGAAUAAGCACCGGCUAACUCUGUGCCAGCAGCCGCGGUAAUACAGAGGGUGCGAGCGUUAAUCGGAUUUACUGGGCGUAAAGCGUGCGUAGGCGGCUUUUUAAGUCGGAUGUGAAAUCCCCGAGCUUAACUUGGGAAUUGCAUUCGAUACUGGGAAGCUAGAGUAUGGGAGAGGAUGGUAGAAUUCCAGGUGUAGCGGUGAAAUGCGUAGAGAUCUGGAGGAAUACCGAUGGCGAAGGCAGCCAUCUGGCCUAAUACUGACGCUGAGGUACGAAAGCAUGGGGAGCAAACAGGAUUAGAUACCCUGGUAGUCCAUGCCGUAAACGAUGUCUACUAGCCGUUGGGGCCUUUGAGGCUUUAGUGGCGCAGCUAACGCGAUAAGUAGACCGCCUGGGGAGUACGGUCGCAAGACUAAAACUCAAAUGAAUUGACGGGGGCCCGCACAAGCGGU